CAACGGGGCGUUACUAGAAUCAUAGAUACUACAUACACACAUGGAUAAGAAACAGGAAGUCGGUUUCCAAUUAAAGCUGUACAAGAUCAAAGCAUGAUGUCAUAUCCUGUGUGCCAUGCUCUUGGCUAAAAUGGUGGCUCUAUGAAUGCUUGAGUGUAUUUUAUAUUUUUUGAAAGUGGUCAUUUUAACCAGAUUAGAUUCAUUCAGUGUCUUUGUUGAAGAGCUAUGUUACAAAAUGUGUUGGCCUCUCAUAUUUUUGUUGAAC